rnacentral:rRNA from 1 species
GACGAACGCUGGCGGCGUGCUUAACACAUGCAAGUCGAACGGAAAGGCCUUGCUUUUGUGGGGUGCUCGAGUGGCGAACGGGUGAGUAACACGUGAGUAACCUGCCCUUGACUUUGGGAUAACUUCAGGAAACUGGGGCUAAUACCGGAUAGGAGCUCCUGCUGCAUGGUGGGGGUUGGAAAGUUUCGGCGGUUGGGGAUGGACUCGCGGCUUAUCAGCUUGUUGGUGGGGUAGUGGCUUACCAAGGUUUUGACGGGAAGCCGGCCUGAGAGGGUGACCGGCCACAUGGGGACUGAGGUACGGCCCAGACUGCUACGGGAGGCAGCAGUGGGGAAUAUUGCACAAUGGGCGGAAGCCUGAUGCAGCAACGCCGCGUGCGGAAUGACGGCCUUCGGGUUGUAAACCGCUUUCGCCUGUGACGAAGCGUGAGUGACGGUAAUGAGUAAAGAAGCACCGGCUAACUACGUG